CCAGUCAUAUCACGUUGAAAUUGCGGUUUCCGUAUGAUCACUGAAGUUAAGCCACAACGAGCCUGGUCAGUACCUAGAUGGGUGACCGCUUGGGAAUACCAGGUGUUGUAAG